rnacentral:rRNA from 1 species
GACGAACGCUGGCGGCGUGCUUAACACAUGCAAGUCGAACGGGAUUUAGUAAACAGCAGCCUCGGUGGGAGAUUACUACUGAGAGUGGCGAACGGGGUAGUAACGCGUGGGCAACCUGCCUAUGACAGGGGGAUAGCCUCGGUACACCGUGAUUGAUCCCGCAUCAAAUCGUGGAAACACAUGUUUUAGCGGUCAAAGAUUUAUCGGUCAUGGAUGGGCUCGCGUCUGAUUAGCUAGUUGGUGAGAUAACAGCCAACCAAGGCGACGAUCAGGAGCCGGUCUGAGAGGAUGACAGGCCACAUUUGAACUGAGACACAGUCCCAUCUCGUACGGGAGGGAGGAGUGGGGAAUAUUGCAGAAUGAGGGAAAACCUGAUGCAGCGACGCCGCGUAAACGAAGAAGGUAUUCGUAUCGUAAAGUUGUGUCCUAUGGGAAGAUAAUGACAGUACCAUAGAAAAAAGCACCGGCUAACUACGUG